rnacentral:rRNA from 1 species
AUUGAACGCUGGCGGCAGGCCUAACACAUGCAAGUCGAGCGGAUGAAGGGAGCUUGCUCCUGGAUUCAGCGGCGGACGGGUGAGUAAUGCCUAGGAAUCUGCCUGGUAGUGGGGGAUAACGUCCGGUAACGGGCGCUAAUACCGCAUACGUACUGAGGGAGAAAGUGGGGGAUCUUCGGACCUCACGCUAUCCGAUGAGCCUAGGUCGGAUUAGCUAGUUGGUGGGGUAAAGGCCUACCAAGGCGACGAUCCGUAACUGGUCUGAGAGGAUGAUCAGUCACACUGGAACUGAGACACGGACCAGACUCCUACGGGAGGCAGCAGUGGGGAAUAUUGGACAAUGGGCGAAAGCCUGAUCCAGCCAUGCCGCGUGUGUGAAGAAGGUCUUCGGAUUGUAAAGCACUUUAAGUUGGGAGGAAGGGCAGUAAGUUAAUACCUUGCUGUUUUGACGUUACCAACAGAAUAAGCACCGGCUAACUUCGUG